rnacentral:rRNA from 1 species
GUAGGGGGCAAGCGUUAUCCGGAUUUACUGGGUGUAAAGGGAGCGUAGACGGCAAUGCAAGCCAGAUGUGAAAACCCGCAGCUCAACUGGGGGAGUGCAUUUGGAACUAUGUAGCUGGAGUGCAGGAGAGGUAAGCGGAAUUCCUGGUGUAGCGGUGAAAUGCGUAGAUAUCAGGAGGAACACCAGUGGCGAAGGCGGCUUACUGGACUGUAACUGACGUUGAGGCUCGAAAGCGUGGGGAGCAAA